ACAUACAUUGAUUAUUUGAUUCUACUUAUUAAAUAUUAUGAACACAUUCUAACCAUUUUAAUUUUUUUGGGUAUUUUUUUAAGAAUGGAAUAAUCCAAGCUAUGGAGACAUUGAAGAAUGGGUCCCAGAAAAGAACCAAGCAAUCAAAGACCACUAAAAGCAUUAUGGUCAUAUAAGCAAAUAGAAUGAAAUCAUCAAGCUUUGAAGAAAUUGAAGAGCAGCUGUCAUAAAAAAACCAAUCAAUCAAAGACCACUAAAAGCAAUAGGGUCAUACAACGAAAUAGAAAACAUUGAUGGAUUCCAGCUUGAACAUCAGUUGUUUGGAUAGAUGCAAACAGAGUAAAGGAAGAUUGUGCAAAUAGAACACAUUGAUGGAUUCCAGCUUGAACAUCAGUUGUUUGGAUAGCUGCAAACAGAGUAAAGGAAGAUUGUGCAAAUAGGAACUUCAAACACACGAAUUGCUCUCACUCGUAUUGCCCUUUGCUGGUGUUCCGGCUUGAUGUUUCUCACGGCAAGGAACAUGGAAGGCAUGUUGAAACAGCAAAGAUUGGUUUCGAAAAGGCUGUAAACUGUGAUAACUUUCUGAAGUGUACUGCCAUGAAGAAGGCCGGUAUUUAUACAUACUGAAGAUUCAAAAAUAAGGAGAUACCGGCAUUCUAAGUUUGGGAAAUCGCACA